rnacentral:rRNA from 1 species
AUUGAACGCUGGCGGCAUGCCUUACACAUGCAAGUCGAACGGUAACGGGCCUUCGGGUGCCGACGAGUGGCGAACGGGUGAGUAAUACAUCGGAACGUGCCCGAUCGUGGGGGAUAACGAGGCGAAAGCUUUGCUAAUACCGCAUACGAUCUACGGUUGAAAGCAGGGGACCGCAAGGGCUUGCGCGGACGGAGCGGCCGAUGGCAGAUUAGGUAGUUGGUGGGAUAAAAGCUUACCAAGACGACGAUCUGUAGCUGGUCUGAGAGGAUGAUCAGCCACACUGGGACUGAGACACGGCCCAGACUCCUACGGGAGGCAGCAGUGGAGAAUUUUGGGCAAUGGGCGCAAGCCUGAUCCAGCCAUGCCGCGUGCAGGAUGAAGGCCUUCGGGUGGUAAACUGCUUUUGUACGGAACGAAAAGCCUUCUUUUAAUACAGGAGGGUCAUGACGGUACCGUAAGAAUAAGCACCGGCUAACUACGUG